UCAGAUACCGCCCUAGUUCUGACCGUAAACGAUGCCAACUAGCGAUCCGCUGAUGGAAAUUAUAUUGCCUUGGUGGGGAGCUUCCCGGAAACGAAAGUCUUCCGGUUCCGGGGGAAGUAUGGUUGCAAAGCUGAAACUUAAAGGAAUUGACGGAAGGGCACCACCAGGAGUGGAGCCUGCGGCUUAAUUUGACUCAACACGGGGAAACUCACCCGGCCCGGACACUGUGAGGAUUGACAGAUUGAUAGCUUUUUCAUGAUUCAGUGGAUGGUGGUGCAUGGCCGUUCUUAGUUCGUGGAGUGAUUUGUCUGGUUUAUUCCGAUAACGAGCGAGACUCUAACCUACUAAAUAGUUGGUACAUACUCUUUGUGUAUACAGCUUCUUAGAGGGAUUUGCGGCGUUCAGCCGAAAGAAAUUGAGCAAUAACAGGUCUGUGAUGCCCUUAGAUGUCCGGGGCUGCACGCGCGCUACACUGGCAAAAUCAACGUGCUUGUCCUACCCUGAAAGGGGCGGGUAAACCAUUGAAAAUUUGCCGUGAUUGGGAUCGGAAAUUGCAAUUAUUUUCCGUGAACGAGGAAUUCCAAGUAAGGCCGAUCUCGCCGGG
rnacentral:rRNA from 1 species